GCGGAUAAGGUGUUACCGGCAGCACGCCCGGCUUCCAACCGGAAGGCGCGAGUUCGACCCUCGCUAUCCGCUCCA
rnacentral:tRNA from 1 species